GAUGAACGCUGGCGGCGUGCCUAAUACAUGCAAGUCGAGCGAACAGACGAGGAGCUUGCUCCUCUGACGUUAGCGGCGGACGGGUGAGUAACACGUGGAUAACCUACCUAUAAGACUGGGAUAACUUCGGGAAACCGGAGCUAAUACCGGAUAAUAUAUUGAACCGCAUGGUUCAAUAGUGAAAGACGGUUUUGCUGUUACUUAUAGAUGGAUCCGCGCCGCAUUAGCUAGUUGGUAAGGUAACGGCUUACCAAGGCAACGAUGCGUAGCCGACCUGAGAGGGUGAGCUGCCACACUGGAACUGAGACGCGGUCCAGACGCCUACAGGAGGCAGCAGUAGGGAAUCUUCCGCAAUGGGCGAAAGCCUGACGGAACAACGCCGCGUGAGUGAUGAAGGUCUUCGGAUCGUAAAACUCUGUUAUUAGGGAAGAACAAAUGUGUAAGUAACUAUGCACGUCUUGACGGUACCUAAUCAGAAAGCCACGGCUAACUACGUG
rnacentral:rRNA from 1 species